CCAUGGUCGUGCUUUGCUCCGGUGUACUGGUGCGUGUGUGGAGCAACUGGCAACGUGUGCAUCUGUGCUGUUUAACAUUUACGGAAGGAGUCUCCAGCGUCAGCGAUUUGGAACGGUCUGAGGUAAAAGUGUAACAGCGGAGUUGACGGUUUACGUUUUUCCCACGUUUUUUGUUUUGUCAGUUCGAACUUGUUAACGUUAAGAGAGACUUUUGUCUGUAGCUGCUAUAACGUAAGUGACAACAGGAACGAGCUCGCUUCGUGGACGUUCCAUAACGUUAACCGUCGCCGUGAACUGACCAAAAAAAAAAAAAAAGUGUGAUGUUUCGUUUUUUAAGAAUAUAAACAAAUAAAUAAAUAAAUCCACCUGUGUGCGGAUAUAUCGUGUUUUUUUCCUCCGGUACAUGCGCCGGAGUGUGAACCGUGUGUAUGGUGCAGUAGCAAGCCGCUGGAGAAGAGGACUCCGGCGUGUGCGCGCGUGUGUGUGUGUGUGGAACACGACCUUUUCCAAACCUCGUCUGCGAAAGGUUGCUCUGCAGCAGAUCUUUUGUUCACGCCGCACGAAGACUAUUUUCGGGUUUGUAAUUGGGCCCGGAGAAACCCAGCGAUGCUCCCGGUGACAGACCGCCGUCCACAUCGAACACGUGAACAUGAAAAACGGAGAGAGAGAGAGAGAGAGAGAGAGAGAGAGAGAGAGACGCCACCGUUCUGUCAGAUUUACGUUUGAACCCCAUGACUGUGCCGCACGUUGUCGAUUCGCGCAGAUACAGUACGGCUCGGUUUGUCCUGAUGAGUUAGUGUCUAUGAUGAUCCAUAACGUGUUCGUUUAAUCGAUUAGCUCAUGAAUCUGCAGGAGUGUUUCAUAACCGAUCUUACAGGAAGGAAGUGAUUUAUUUCUUUUGGAGACAUCUGGAAUAAUGGAACCAGGCUGAAAUUGAAAACAUGUUUUCUGCAGUUAAUGUGAGUGACAUCAGCGCCGGUUUCGGCCGGUUUCGGUUUCGGCCGAGCCGGACCCCGUUUCCAUCAUCCACAGUCACACACACAGAGAUGACUGACUUACACGUCCUAACUGCGGAGUAUUGCUCCAAAUACACUUAUGGUUAUACUAAGGCUUUGUUUGUCAUGAUUUUGGCUCACUUUGUGCCUUGUUAUAAACUUGGAACGAUAACGCUGUGCCUAGUUUCACACUGUUUGUUGAACGCCUGUUUCCUGUGGGUUCAGUUGAGUGUGGGUUUAGUUUCAUGUGGCUUUUGUUUGUUUCGUGUGGGAUUUGAUUAGCGUGGGUUUAGUUUAGUGUGGGAUUUGUCUAUGCUGGGAUUAGUUUGUGGGUGUUAUAUCAUGGGUAAUUGUCUAUUAACAUCCAACUUGUUUUGUUAGUGUGGGUCAUUUUAUUUUAUGAGUUUUUUUGUGUGGCUCAUUUUUACUUUUUCAUUUUGUGUUUAACAUUGGUUUGGUAUUUUUUUAUUCUAGCUGGUUUCAUUUAGCGCUGAUCAUUUUUCACUUUGUAACUUUUGUUUUUUCUUUUUGCUUGUAUCCUGUAGCCAUGUGCAAGAAUCCAUUAUUGAAGUCUGAGCUUCUCAGCAGGCUGUUAUUUAACACAGAACGAUUCUGGGAAUUGGCUUUUAUAGAGAUCUGACACUUUGGCUCUUUGGUUUCUGGCUUUGUUUAAGACUUUCUCUCUAUGAACUCCCGGGAGACGCGAGCGAGAGACGUGAGAUUAAAGUGUACUUUAUUAUUUUUUACCCUCUCUUUGUUUUGUAAAAGUACAUGUAGGACUGUUUCGGUCUCUCACUCAGGACUGUGAUACGCAUGAACGUGUGGGAGGCGCCGUACAGUGGGGAGACGAUUAAAAUGAGACACAGGUAAAGGACUGAAAGAAAGUCAGGCAAGCUGCUGCUCCUCAUGCACCUGAAUGGUGGAAUGUGGUAUUAACGAUGGAGAGAGGAAAAAACUUCGCUUUGAGUGACUGCUGCAACAUGAGCACAAUUACAACUAAUGCAAUUAAUGUCUUUAAAUAAGACAUCAAGAAUGACUUAUACCGCAGCGUGCUGACGAGACGUGUGAGAGGCUAUACUCGAAUCUAUACAUACAGGAGAGAGAGACAGCGAGAGAGAGAGAGAGAGAGAGAGAGACAUCGAGAGAGAGAGAGAGAGAGAGAGACAUCGAGAGAGAGAGAGAGAGAGAGAGAGAGACAUAGAGAGAGAGUGACAUCAAGAGAGAGAGAGAGAGAGAGAGAGAGAGAGAGAGAGAGACAGCAAGAGAGCGAGAGAGAGAGAGAAAGAGAGAGACAGUGAGAGAGAGACAUCGAGAGAGAGAGACAGUGAGAGAGAGAGAUACAUUGAGAGAGACAGCGUGAGAGAGAGAGAGACAGUGAGCGAGAGAGAGACAACCGAGAGAGAGAGAGAGAGACAUCGAGAGAGAGAGAGACAUUGAGAGAGAGACAUCAAGAGAGGAGAGAUAGACAUCAAAAGAGAGACAUCGAGAGAGAGAGAGACAUUGAGAGAGAGACACUGAGAGAGAGAGAGACAUUGAGAGAGACAUUGAGAGAGAGAGAGAGAGACAUCAAGAUAGAGAGAGAGAUAGACAUCGAGAG
ensembl:lncRNA